UUUGAUGCGGGUGGGGAAAUGUUUCAAUUGAGUUCCUUGUCCUUUAUUUCAUAUUUGAAUUGGUUAAUUUUUAAUAAUUGCGACAUUUAACCAACGUAAUUCUUUAAAUUAAAAGAAUUUAACAGCACAGCGAAGCGACAAUGUCAAUGAGUCAAAAUAAACUUAUAAGAACGAGGAGACAAGAAGUAAGAACAACUAAACACAAAGGACAAAAUUACCUACGACUACGACAAAAUUACAAAAAAGGAACAAGAAAAAAAGGGAUACGUCGAUAAGGUAGUUCAGAAAGGAAGUUUUGUAGCUGAUGAGAAGGAUGGAUGAUGAAAACACAUAUCCAGACAAAUCUAGCUGUUGCUUCUAGCAUCGCCGAAGAGAAAUAUUUAAAUUUGAUGGUUUUGUAUCUCUUGUUUUUGAAAAGAGUAAUUUUGCUGAAAUAUGGGGAAAUUAAUUUACCAUUGUACCUAGUUUAAUGGUAAUCUUACACUCGUUUUCACCAAAAAUUUGAUGGAAGUUAUGUUUGUAAUUAAAUAUUUUUAUAUUAAAUCUAUCAUGAUAUUA